rnacentral:rRNA from 1 species
GACAGAGGGUGCAAACGUUGUUCGGAAUUACUGGGCGUAAAGCGAGUGUAGGCGGUUCGGUAAGUCGGAUUUGAAAGCCCCGGGCUCAACCCGGGAAGUGCACUCGAUACUGCCGAGCUAGAGUAUCGGAGAGGUUGGUGGAAUUCUCGGUGUAGAGGUGAAAUUCGUAGAUAUCGAGAGGAACACCGGUGGCGAAGGCGGCCAACUGGACGAAUACUGACGCUGAGACUCGAAAGCGUGGGGGAGCAAAACAGG